UUACUGCUAUCGAGGUUCGACUAAGCCAUGCGAGUCGAAUGUAGCAAUACAUGGCGUACUGCUCAGUAACACGUGGACAACCUACCCUCCGGACGGGUAUAAACCCGGGAAACUGGGUAUAAUCCCCGAUAGAUCUCGGUCGCUGGAAUGCCCCGAGAUCGAAAGCUCCGGCGCCAGAGGAUGGGUCUGCGGCCUAUCAGGUAGUAGUGGGUGUAGCGUACCUACUAGCCUACGACGGGUACGGGUUGUGAGAGCAAGAGCCCGGAGAUGGAUUCUGAGACACGAAUCCAGGCCCUACGGGGUGCAGCAGGCGCGAAAACUUUACAAUGCCGGCAACGGCGAUAAGGGGACCUCGAGUGCCAGGUUACAAAUCUGGCUGUCGCGAUGCCUAAAAAGCAUUGCAUAGCAAGGGCCGGGCAAGACCGGUGCCAGCCGCCGCGGUAACACCGGCGGCUCGAGUGGUAACCGUUAUUAUUGGGUCUAAAGGGUCUGUAGCCGGCC
rnacentral:rRNA from 1 species